AUUGAACGCUGGCGGCAUGCUUUACACAUGCAAGUCGAACGGUAACAGGGUGCUUGCACCGCUGACGAGUGGCGAACGGGUGAGUAAUACAUCGGAAUGUACCCAGUAAUGGGGGAUAACGCUUCGAAAGGAGUGCUAAUACCGCAUACGCGCUACGGGGGAAAGCAGGGGAUCGCAGGACCUUGCGCUAAUAGAUGAGCCUACGUCGGAUUAGCUAGUUGGUGGGGUAAAGGCCUACCAAGGCGACGAUCUGUAGCGGGUCUGAGAGGAUGAUCCGCAACACUGGGACUGAGACACGGCCCAGACUCCUACGGGAGGCAGCAGUGGGGAAUAUUGGACAAUGGGCGGAAGCCUGAUCCAGCCAUGCCGCGUGUGUGAAGAAGGCCUUUUGGUUGUAAAGCACUUUAAGCGAGGAGGAGGCUACCUGGAUUAAUACUCUAGGAUAGUGGACGUUACUCGCAGAAUAAGCACCGGCUAACUCUGUGCCAGCAGCCGCCGUAACAC
rnacentral:rRNA from 1 species